rnacentral:rRNA from 1 species
UACAGAGGUCUCAAGCGUUGUUCGGAUUCAUUGGGCGUAAAGGGUGCGUAGGUGGCGCUGUAAGUCGGGUGUGAAAUUUCGGAGCUUAACUCCGAAACUGCAUUCGAUACUGCGGUGCUUGAGGACUGGAGAGGAGACUGGAAUUCAUGGUGUAGCAGUGAAAUGCGUAGAGAUCAUGAGGAAGACCAGUGGCGAAGGCGGGUCUCUGGACAGUUCCUGACACUGAGGCACGAAGGCCAGGGGAGCGAAUGGG